rnacentral:lncRNA from 1 species
UAGAGACACAAAAAAACCCUUCAAAAAAUCAAUCCAGGAGCUAGUUUUUUGAAAAAAUCAGCAAAAUAGAUAGACCAUUAGCAAGAUUAAUAAAGAAUAAAAGAGAGAAGAAUCAAAUAGAUGCAAUAAAAAAUGAUAAAGGGGAUAUCACCACCAAUCCCACAGAAAUACAAACUACCAUCAGAUAAUACUAUAAAUGUUUGCAAAUGACAUGAUUGUAUAUUUAGAACAUCCCCUCAUCUCAGCCCCAAAUCUCCUUAAGCUGAUAAGCAACUUCAGCAAAGUCUCAAGAUACAAAAUCAAUGUGCAAAUAUCACAAG